rfam:Alligator_sinensis, whole genome shotgun sequence
CCAAAGGCUCUUUUCAGAGCCACACACACAGUCGAGAAAGGGCGU